rnacentral:rRNA from 1 species
AGUGUUCAAAGCAGGCAGAUCCAAUUUUCUGCCACCGAAUACAUUAGCAUGGGAUAAUGGAAUAGGACCCUGUCCUCCUAUUUUCAGUUGGUUUGCCGCGAGGACCAGGGUAAUGAUUAAUAGGGAUAGUUGGGGGCAUUAAUAUUUAAUUGUCAGAGGUGAAAUUCUUGGAUUUAUGAAAGAUUAACUUCUGCGAAAGCAUCUGCCAAGGAUGUUUUCAUUAAUCAAGAACGAAAGUUAGGGGAUCGAAGACGAUCAGAUACCGUCGUAGUCUUAACCAUAAACGAUGCCGACCAGCGAUUAGGAGACGUUGAAUACAAAACACCACCAUGCGCAUUGCGGUCGUCUUUGGUGUCGCUCACAAGGCGGCACCGGGGCGGCUUAGCUCGCAUGGCACCGGUGAAUGACUCCCUAGAG